rnacentral:rRNA from 1 species
CUGGUGCCAGCAGCCGCGGUAAUUCCAGCUCCAAUAGCGUAUAUUAAAGUUGUUGCAGUUAAAAAGCUCGUAGUUGAAUUUCGGGGUCAGUAGGUUGGUCGUGCCAAUGGUAUGUACUGGCUUUACUGAUUCCUCCUUCUUGAAGAACUGUAAUGUCAUUAAUUUGGUGUUGCAGGGAAACAGGACUGUUACUUUGAAAAAUUAGAGUGUUUAAAGCAGGCUAACGCUUGAAUACAUUAGCAUGGAAUAAUGAAAUAGGACGUUCGAUCCUAUUUUGUUGGUUUCUAGGGAUUGACGUAAUGAUUAAUAGGGAUAGUUGGGGGCAUUAGUAUUCAAUUGUCAGAGGUGAAAUUCUUGGAUUUAUUGAAGACUAACUACUGCGAAAGCAUUUGCCAAGGAUGUUUUCAUUAAUCAAGAACGAAAGUUAGGGGAUCGAAGACGAUCAGAUACCGUCGUAGUCUUAACCAUAAACUAUGCCGACUAGGGAUCGGAUGAUGUUAAUUUUUUAAUGACUCAUUCGGCGCCUUACG